rnacentral:rRNA from 1 species
UGGGGAAUAUUGGACAAUGGGCGGAAGCCUGAUCCAGCCAUGCCGCGUGUGUGAAGAAGGCCUUUUGGUUGUAAAGCACUUUAAGCGAGGAGGAGGCUACUUGGAUUAAUACUCUCGGAUAGUGGACGUUACUCGCAGAAUAAGCACCGGCUAACUCUGUGCCAGCAGCCGCGGUAAUACAGGGGGUGCGAGCGUUAAUCGGAUUUACUGGGCGUAAAGCGUGCGUAGGCGGCUUCUUAAGUCGGAUGUGAAAUCCCUGAGCUUAACUUAGGAAUUGCAUUCGAUACUGGGAAGCUAGAGUAUGGGAGAGGAUGGUAGAAUUCCAGGUGUAGCGGUGAAAUGCGUAGAGAUCUGGAGGAAUACCGAUGGCGAAGGCAGCCAUCUGGCCUAAUACUGACGCUGAGGUACGAAAGCAUGGGGAGCAAACAGG